GACGAACGCUGGCGGCGUGCUUAACACAUGCAAGUCGAACGAUGAAGCUGGAGCUUGCUCCGGUGGAUUAGUGGCGAACGGGUGAGUAAUACGUGAGCAAUCUGCCCUUCACUCUGGGAUAACUGCGGGAAACUGUAGCUAAUACCGGAUACGAGGCUUGGAGGCAUCUCCAGGUCUGGAAAGAAUUUCGGUGAAGGAUGAGCUCGCGGCCUAUCAGCUUGUUGGUGAGGUAAUGGCUCACCAAGGCGACGACGGGUAGCCGGCCUGAGAGGGUGACCGGCCACACUGGGACUGAGACACGGCCCAGACUCCUACGGGAGGCAGCAGUGGGGAAUAUUGCACAAUGGGCGAAAGCCUGAUGCAGCAACGCCGCGUGAGGGAUGAAGGCCUUCGGGUUGUAAACCUCUUUUAGCAGGGAAGAAGCGAAAGUGACGGUACCUGCAGAAAAAGCACCGGCUAACUACGUGCCAGCAGCCGCCGCCG
rnacentral:rRNA from 1 species